UACCACAUGCAAGUCGAACGAUGAACACCGGAGCUUGCUCUGGUGGAUUAGUGGGAACGGGUGAGUAACACGUGAAGGAAUCUGCCCCGACUCUGGGAUAAGCGUUGAACGACGUCUAACUACCGGAUACGCCACCUCCUGGCAUCAGGUGGGUGUGGAAAGAAUUUCGGUUGGGGAUGAGCUCGCGACCUAUCAGCUUGUUGGUGAGGUAAUGGCUGACCAAGGCGACGACGGGUAGCCGGCCUGAGAGGGUGACCGGCCACACUGGGACUGAGACACGGCCCAGACUCCUACGGGAGGCAGCAGUGGGGAAUACUGCACAAUGGGCCGCAGCCUGAUGCAGCAACGCCGCGUGGGGGCGAAGGCCUUCGGGUUGUAAACCCCUUUUAGCAGGGAAGAAGCGCAAGUGACGGUACCUGCAGAAAAAGCACCGGCUAACUACGUGCCAGCAGCCGCGGUAAUACGUAGGGUGCAAGCGUUCUCCGGAAUUAUUGGGCGUAAAGAGCUCGUAGGCGGUGUGUCGCGUCUGCUGUGAAAAUCCAAGGCUCAACCUUGGACCUGCAGUGGGUACGGCGCACACUAGAGUGCGGUAGGGGAGACUGGAAUUCCUGGUGUAGCGGUGGAAUGGCGCAGAUAUCAGGAGGAACACCAAUGGCGAAGGCAGAUCUCUGGGCCGUUACAGACGCUGAGAGCGAAAGCGUGGGGAGCGAACAGGAUUAGACUACCCUGGUAGCCCACGCCGUAAACGGUGGGAACUACAUGUGGGGUCCGUUCCAGGAUUCCGUGUCGCAGCUAACGCAUUAAGUUCCCCGCCUGGGGAGUCGGCAGCACGGCUAAACUCAAAGCGAAUUGGACGGGGGCCCGCACAAGCGGCGGAGCAUGCGGAUUAUUCGAUGCAACGCGAAGAACCUUACCAAGGCAUUGACAUAUACAGAAAAGUGCAGAAAUGUACUCCCCGCAAGGUCUCUAUACAGGUGGAUUGCAUGGUUGUCGUCAGCUCCGUGUCGUGACGAUGUUGGGUUAAGUCC
rnacentral:rRNA from 1 species